GCCAGAUGAUGCUCAAGCCUGACUGAUAGCUGGCUGGGGUGGGCUGGCUUAGCGGGAGGCUUGGGAGGCACUGCUCUCAUGACCUGACAUGGAAAAUAGAGUUCAGUGAAUAGAAAGAGAAAAGAAAAAAAUCAAUAGAAGAAACAACACCCACUACGCUUGGAGCAAUCAACUGCACGAGAGCAUGAUGCCAUGGGGGGCGCUGGAUGUUCCAAACCUGCGAAAUGACAGACUAAAAUAUGUGGAGAAAACAAACUUUUUCCAAAACUUAUACUAUGAGAAAUGAUUACACCUCUAAAAAACAAUAUGUAAAAUACCUGUGUGCGGUCUAAGGAAUCCCAUAAGCCAGACUGUUUGACGCCAGGACCAAUAAGGUUGGACAAGGCUGGCGUCCAAUCCACACAUCUCAUCACAAUCUAUACUGGUUAAUCAGCAGCAAUAGACAAAAAAGAAAAAAAAGAAAGAAAAGGAACAGACACACAUAAUCUUCACUGACAAGGAACAAAGUCGUACCUGAGCAAUGGCAGCGUACACAGUGUGAGGAAUCAGAGGAGG